UACGUAGGUGACCAGCGUUGUCCGGAUUUACUGGGCGUAAAGAGCGCGCAGGCGGUCGUUCAAGUCGAGUGUGAAAGCCCCCGGCUCAACUGGGGAGGGUCAUUCGAUACUGAUCGACUUGAAGGCAGGAGAGGGAAGCGGAAUUCCCGGUGUAGAGGUGAAAUUCGUAGAUAUCGAGAGGAACACCGGUGGCGAAGGCGGCCAACUGGACAGAUACUGACGCUGAGGCGCGAAAGCGUGGGGAGCAAACAGG
rnacentral:rRNA from 1 species